UGCAGAAAGUGUGUUAUGUUGGGGUUUUUCUCUUGUUGGUUGUUUGGGUUUGGACCCCACUCCCUUCGGGAGCCCCUCGGUGGGGCGGGGGCUGAGGUGGCCCGACGCAUCGCGACCCCCGCCCGUCCCCCCGGGGGCCGUGUAGGUGCACCGGGGGGCGGCUAGCGGAUCCCUGCCGCUUUAAAAGUGCAGGCCAGUAUUGGCCCGGGCGAGCAGCUAUUUCCUUGUCACAUGGUCAUUUGAACGCGACGCGGGGCCGUUGCGUAGCGGAGCGAGAAAAAAAAAAAAAAAAAAAAAAAGCGGAUCUCGUCUCCCCCCGCCGGUAACCGAAACGGGGAGUAACCCUAACAACAAUGCUAAUAAAGAAGAGCCUGAAAUGGUUUCUCUUGGACCGAGUCCGAUUUCAAGCCUGGGAAAUGUGGAGAAAUCCAAGCCCUGGAGCCGACGCUGCUGCCAGAAGAAAAGGUGCCUGUGGAAGCUCCCAUGGCCGAGCAGGAUUACAUCGGGGACCCCCAUCCUCCCACGAGAUAGCCUCCAAAGUGCUCGGGAUUUGUGCUGGGGAACGAGCCCAGGGCUCUCCCGCUGUCCCACCUUGCUUCCCCUUCUGUGUCCUUGUCGCGCAGGACGUGUCAGCACGGACCCGCGUGGGGUCCGGGGGUGGGUGUGGGGCAGGCAGCCCCACAUAAUUGAUCUGUUCCCCGCCCCCCUUCCUCCUUCAGCAGCACAGCCGUUACAACCACUCGCUCGCUGUUACAACGGCUCGUUUUUUUCUUCACCAAACGCCACCUUCGAGCAGCUUAGGAAACCCUGGGACCGAGCUCGGAUAUACGAUUUUAAAUUUUCAGUUCCACACCGCCUUCAUUGUGCAACCGUCAUGGUUUCUUCAAAAUACUGUUAAAUUCACAGCAACUCGGAGGAGGUCACCUGCAAGUUGGUAAAACACUUAUUACUUCAAGCGAGGGCGGUAUUGGGCUUGCGGAGACGCCAAUCGCUCUUUAUUUUCUCCUUCUAUGUCCCAUGUUUACGACCUUCGUGAGAAGAGCCAUGGAUGCGCCACGGGCCCAUGCAGAGACAUGCACAGCAUCUUACGCGGUUUUAAGCAGUGUUUGGACUACCAUGUCAAAAAGCGGGGCGUGGAGGGUGUCAAGCGCAGGAAAACAUGCAGGCACGUGCUAACUAUAGCGUGCAAACCGAUACAUAUCGCGCUGGUCCUUCGUGCAUCCGAGCAGCGAAACGCCACCCGCGGAUUUUAGAAGCCCCCCCGCAGGUAUGGGGAUCGCUACGGAAAGGAACGGAAAAUCCGCAGGCGAGGCCUAGAGAUCGGCUCUGGAGGCGCCGCGAGCUGCGGAGAGCACGGACCUCGCAGGAACGCCGCGCACCGGAGGAAUCCCUCCUCCUCCGCGCCGCGGGACACAGCGGGGCAAGUGGGACAGAGCGCCGCUGGAGCCCCGUCGGGGCCGGGGCGUGCGGGCCCGCACCGGGGGCCCGCUCCGCGACAGGAACCGGCAGCAGGCGCGGGGCAGAGGGGCCGGGGGAAGGGGCUCGCCCUUCUUCGGGCGCACCCCCGCAGGAACCGCUCGAGCAAGUCCCGACCCGCUUUGCAACGGCCGCCGCGUAACCGUGCCGGUGGAGCAGCUCCCGGGGGCUGCCGCCGCUCCGCUCUCUCACCCGGGACGCUUUUCCAAGAAGGUCCUUAGAAAGGCGAAAAGCGUGUGUAAGGAACGCUCCCGCCCCGCAACGGGACGUCCGCGCUUCCCUCGCCCUCCGGAGGGACUCGAAACGCACCUUCAGCCUCUACGUCCCUGCCCAGCGCUGCACUAAAACGCCCGGGAGCCCCCUCUUCUCGGGGUCCCCGUACCCCGAAGCUCCGUUGCUCCCAGCGCACCCGGCAGUGCUACAGCGCCCGGGCUAAAUCCCUGCUGCGUAAAGGUGCAGAAAAAAAACAUGUCGGAGGUCGGCAUCAGAUACGUGUUUCGAGUGAAAUGCUGCACCGUCAUUUUGUAGGAGAGUUUCGCGAACACCGGCCCUAAACCCCAAACAUAGCUUCUCGGGUUAUUCCCGUUUCAUUUUAUUUUGAAAACUCAAGAAGCUGGCUAGAGCUAUCUCAGAAAUUAAUUUAGCUUUAUAAAUGUGUAUCUACUGCUUCUCCGGGCACGGCAUCUAUCCAGGCGUUCAUGCAACUGUGAAACGUGGGCAGACUGAGCCCUCCCAGAUGGACUCCUAGCUGCUUACCUGCAGGGUCUCCUGGGCAAGGCUAUCGCGACCAGAUGCUUCUGGCCUUAAGGGUCAGCGAUCACAAUGUAUCGUGAGAGUCAGUGAAUAUGCUUUUUCUCCAUGGGAGAGCAAAAUCGCUAACAGACGUAUAAAGCAGAAGAUGAGGUAUGACGAAAGAGUAAUUCUUUCAGAAAAGGUGCCUCGUUACUCUUUAUUGCACGUUUAUUGCGAGAUGAGCAUUAAAGUUCUCGGUUUUGAGUCA